UUUCAGUAGCAACUGAACUGGAGCCAUUUUCAUCUGGAACCACAUAAAUGCUUAAGCCCUGUUUGGAAUGUCUGCUUCCACAGUCAUCCAGCCACAGAGCCCAUGGCACAAGGCAAGCUGAAGGUGCCUCGUCAGAAGACACAAACACAAGCCAGACCCAGGAAGAUUGGAAGGGAGGGUGUGCAAGGCAGAAAGAUACACCAGCACCUGCCGUGAUGCAUCUUGGCUGAGAAAUUUGAGCCAGGAACCUCCCCUUCCCACAGGCUACCCACUCCAACCCACAGUGGAAGGAGACCCUAAGCUUAUUUCAACCUCCAUUCUGGGACAUACAGUUACCUGCAUGGGGGAUAGGACUUCCCCUACAAAGCAAAUUCAAAGAUAAAAUUAUUAAGAAGUUCAAGAUGGCAAGUGCAGAGCAUUAAACUCCAAGCAAGAGGCCCUUCUGAGCAUUGGACCCUGUGUGAUUGCCUUGAUCUUAUACUUGGUCGGACUGUGGUGAGGGAGCCAGCAGCCCUUUGUUAGUUUAUCAUGUUGCUGGAAACCAGAAACAGCAGUGAGAAUGGACUUUAAAAGCAGCCUCUUGAAGACUCUUAAAUAUGGAGAACAAACAGAGGGUUACUGGAGGGGUUGUGGG